GCUCCAGGGCGGGCUUGGGAAUGGAGACAAACUCCUCCGGGCCAUUAACGCUCAGCCGGACAGGGCUUAGGAGUCCCGAGCCCAGUCCUGUUCACCCCCAUUUUAUAGAAAGGGAAACUGAGGCCCAGACAGGGGAAAGUCACUUGCCGAGGUGUUUACUGCAGACUGCGUUGACCGAACCUGCUUUUUCACAGCAGUCAGACAGCAAGCCCUGCCGUCCCUCCAGGACCCUAGUUCCUGGCGAGGAAGGCGUUCUCAGCGAUAAUGACCAGCAUUAAAGUGCUCCCCGUUACCGGCGUCACUGCCCCAGCCAGUGGAGGCCCCGGAGAGGAGCUGAAGAUGUGUGACCUAACUUCUCCGAACCUUCCUCCCUCAAGGAGAGCUGAUAAUCCCUAACUCACAGUUCUGUGAGGAUUGAAUGCCUUAAGCAUGCAGGUUAAGUGGCUACUGAACGCAGUUUUUGUGGACAGAAACUGGUGCCAGCGUCAGAUCUGCGAUGCUGCCCAGGCAUGGUGGUGACCCUCUCUAAACAAGCACACUCAGAAUUUCCCUGGCCUCAGCUGGGCGACUCAGAAGAAAAUUGGCCAUCAGCUUCUGCCUCAAGGGGGUGCUGUGGCAAGGAAGACAGAGCAUGUGUGUUGUGAACACUCAUUAGAGGAUCAACCCUACUGUGCCAGGUGCCACGGCGCUGGAUGCAGAGAGCAGGACACAUGGACAGAUGGUGUGUUCACAAAGAAUUUGGAAGAAAGCCAGAUGGUGACAAGAGUGUGUCUCUGAAUGCCCCUUUUGGGGGUCACUAAAAAUGCCCCAGGGUUUUUAGUUGGACCAAUAAGGAGGCUUCAAAGAGAUGGCAUCUGAGCCAGGUUGUGAUACACCUAGGAUGUCAACAGGCAGAAAAAGGGCAGGGACUGGGAGUAAGGAAAGAACGUCUAUUCAAGGCACAACACUGAUUACCAAAGUUUCUAUCAUCCUUAUGUUGACAACAGACAUAAUUUUAACCUUUUGUAUAAGCCAGACUGUGAAGGAUUAUUAGCAGAAUAAAAGCAUCUAUUGGGCCUGGU
rnacentral:lncRNA from 1 species